UACGUAGGGGGCAAGCGUUGUCCGGAUUUAUUGGGCGUAAAGAGCGUGUAGGCGGCCAUUCAGGUCAGCUGUGAAAACUCGAGGCUCAACCUCGAGACGUCGGUUGAAACCGUUUGGCUAGAGUCCGGAAGAGGAGAGUGGAAUUCCCGGUGUAGCGGUGAAAUGCGCAGAUAUCAGGAGGAACACCGGUGGCGAAGGCGGUUCUCUGGGCAUUACCUGACGCUGAGGAGCGAAAGUGUGGGGAGCGAACAGG
rnacentral:rRNA from 1 species